rnacentral:lncRNA from 1 species
CUCUAGUUUUUUUAAUUAAAGUCUUGAGUGCAAAGAUCUGUUAUAGUCUUGAGGACCAAAACAGAAAACACCCUGGGAGAAGUAGCACUGUGAGAGGUAGAAGUUCAAGGUGCUAUUUUACUUUUUCUCACUGUGAAGAGACAAGCUAUUCUCACUGGAGCUCAGCCUUAAACUUUUGGGUUUUGCUGAUUUCCUUCUCUUCAGAAGAUGUACCCAGAAAAGUAGUUCCAGGAAAGCAAGAGGAGGGUGCUUUUCUGUGAAUACAGCAAGUCUGGUGCAGUUAAUGCAGCAUCAAGAAAUGUAUGUUGAUGAUCCAGCCUCCAGCCUCCAAAGGUGACUUACAUUGUUCAUUGAUUCUCCAAGAAAACUGACAUGAGUUACUGGUCUGUAAGGAAAUAAUAGGAGACCGCUUCCUUGGUAUGUAAGAACUGUUCUUCCAAACUCAUGUAUAAGACUGCGGAUUGGCUCUUCAACUGGCGAAAAUCACCAUUCUUCAGCUGAAGAAAAUGAAUCACCCAUUUUAAUGGCCAUAAGGAAUGUGGCACUCACAGAUCAACAAAGAUGCUACUGUCCUUUCUGCAGCAAUGCCCAGCCACCAUUUCCUUGCUGGUCUUGGAAAUCAAACUCCACAACAUGGGUACUGAGAAAAUGCUGGAAGAUGAGAGGACAGCAAGCUCUAUCUGUUCACACACAGUGGAGAGAGAUCAGAGAGCCAAAAGGUACACAAAAAAUGGGGGGAAAAAAAAGAGGCAAGGACAGAAAGAAAGGA